UACGUAGGGUCCGAGCGUUGUCCGGAGUUACUGGGCGUAAAGCGCGCGCAGGUGGUGCGGUAAGUCUGCCGUGAAAUCUCCCGGCUCAACUGGGAGGGGGCGGUGGAGACUGCCGGACUGGAGGGACUCAGAGGCCGGUGGAAUUCCCGGUGUAGUGGUGAAAUGCGUAGAGAUCGGGAGGAACACCAGUGGCGAAGGCGGCCGGCUGGGGGUGCCCUGACGCUGAGGCGCGAAAGCGUGGGGAGCGAACCGG
rnacentral:rRNA from 1 species